AGGCCUCAGUAGCUCAGUUGUAGAGCGGUGGGCUGUUAACUGACUGGUCGUUCGAAUCCUACUUGGCUUG
rnacentral:tRNA from 1 species